CAUGGUGGAGGAAGCCCGUCGCCUCCAGGGAUCUGGCCCUGAACCCCUCUGUGUCCACUGCAGUGCGGGUUGUGGGCGAACAGGCGUCCUGUGCACCGUGGAUUAUGUGAGGCAGCUGCUCCUGACCCAGGUACGAUGCAGGCAUCCCGUGUGUGCAGUGUGCUGCCCAUGACCACGUGUCCUGCUCAAGUGCCUUGUCUGUCUGCCCCAGAUGAUCCCACCUGACUUCAGUCUCUUUGAUGUGGUCCUUAAGAUGAGGAAGCAGCGGCCUGCGGCCGUGCAGACAGAGGAGCAGUACAGGUUCCUGUACCACACGGUGGCUCAGAUGUUCUGCUCCACGCUCCAGAAUGCCAGCCCCCACUACCAGAACAUCAAAGAGAAUUGUGCCCCACUCUACGACGAUGCCCUCUUCCUCCAGACUCCCCAGGCACUUCUCGCCAUACCCCGCCCACCAGGAGGGGUCCUCAGGGCGCUAGGGACACAGAAGCGAGGCCUCCAACCCAAGGAGCCCUCCCUCCCAUCUAGCGCACCGCCUCGGCGGGAAGGAAGCCCGUGGUUUGCGCGCUGAGCAGCCUCCCCACUCCCGCCCUGCCCAGCGCCGCCGUUUCACUUCCUCCCGGCCCUCCCUGCCUGCAGGAGCAUCUCUGUGCCCGGGUCCCCGGGCCACGCCAUGGCUGACAUCUACGCGGUGGUGCAGAAGCGCGGGGCUCCAGCGGGCGCCGGGCGUGGGACGCAGACGGGGACGGGGGCGCGCAGCGCGGACGAGGCGCCGCUCUACAGCCAGGUGACGCCGCGCGCCCAGCGACCCGGGGCGCACGCGG
rnacentral:sRNA from 1 species